AAAACAUCGCCUCUUGCAAAAUUAAUAAAUAAGAGGUCCCGCCUGCCCUGUGACUAUAUGUUUAACGGCCGCGGUAUUUUGACCGUGCGAAGGUAGCGCAAUCACUUGUCUUUUAAAUGAAGACCUGUAUGAAUGGCAUAACGAGGGCUUAACUGUCUCUUCUUUCAAGUCAAUGAAAUUGAUCUCCCCGUGCAGAAGCGGGGAUGCACCCAUAAGACGAGAAGACCCUGUGGAGCUUUAGACACCAAGACAGACUACUGUCAGACACCCCAAACCAAUGGGUUGAACCAAUUAGACCCUGUCCUAAUGUCUUCGGUUGGGGCGACCGCGGGGAAAUGAAUAACCCCCAUGUGGAAUGGGAACACCUCCUCCUACAACCAAGAGCCCCCGCUCUAACAAACAGAACUUCUGACCUACAAGAUCCGGCAACGCCGAUUAACGGACCAAGUUACCCCAGGGAUAACAGCGCAAUCCCCUUUUAGAGCCCAUAUCGACAAGGGGGUUUACGACCUCGAUGUUGGAUCAGGACAUCCUAAUGGUGCAGCCGCUAUUAAGGGUUCGUUUGUUCAACGAUUAAAGUCCUACGUGAUCUGAG
rnacentral:rRNA from 1 species